GGGUUAUUGCACCGAAGGUCUCUGGACCUCACUGCCUAUGCAGCAGCCAAGAGCACCUGUACAUUAAUAUUUAUUUAAAGAAUUAGAAUGAAAAGAUGAUGGUGAAGACAAUUCAGUACCUUCAGGUCAGGGGAGAGCCAAUAGUUCUAUUUUUUUUUUGGCACAUUUGUCUACAGAAUUAUCAUAAACAGUAUCAAGACUUUAGGUUUGGAGUUGCUACCAAGACUUAUAUAACUUCUUUUUAAUACCAUCAGUGUAAUUCCAUUAAACUGAUAUUUAUUGGCACCUUCCCCAGUCUGGGCACUGAGCGGAAACCCCAGAGGAACAGCACCCUGCUCCUCCCACCAGGGAGCUCACAGUUCAGUAGCGGAGACAGACCCACACGUUUCCCACAGCGUGUGGGGAGUUUUGAUUCCUGCCCAGGGAAUCAAAGAGGCAAGAUUAACACACUGCCUGGUGUAGACCGGACUGAGCCCCAAAGUCUUGAUAACCAAAGAAAGGGGAUGGAGCUCUUGAUUUUCUGCAGGACCACGGCUCCCUGCAGGCACGGACCUGCGGCUCUUCGUCCCUGGCAGGGGCUGUGCCCUGAUAUUCACAGUUUUUGACUGGGGCUGGAUUUGAACCUGCCACCUCCAGCAUAUGGGGCCAGCGCCCUACUCUGUUGAGCCACAGGCGCCACCCUACUGUGCAUUGCUUUGUACAAUAAAAAAUGUGCAGUUGAAUGACCAC